rnacentral:rRNA from 1 species
GCAUGGCAACACGUUAAGUUGACUGAUACUAAUAAGUCGAGGGCUUGACCAAA